GUGAAUCAUCGAAUCUUUGAACGCACCUUGCGCUCCUUGGUAUUCCGAGGAGCAUGCCUGUUUGAGUGUCAGUAAAUUCUCAACCCCUUCAUUUGGGGCUUGGAUAAUGGAGGUGCUGCCGGCCUUGUACAAGGUUGGCUCCUCUGAAAUGCAUUAGCAGAACGGUUUGCGAUCUGUGACCGGCGUGAUAAUUAUCUAUGCCAGUAGGAUUGCUCUCUGUCUAGUUCAGCUGCCAAUCGUCUGUAACAGACAAUGAUGACUGAAUCUUUGACCUCAAAUCAGGUAGGACUACCCGCUGAACUUAAGCAUAUCAAUAAGCGGAGGA
rnacentral:misc_RNA from 1 species